ensembl:lncRNA
CCUCAUUUUUUAUGCUUAUUCUUUUGUAGCCCUGUGUUUCAUUUUUUUUGUUAUAUAUUCUUUCUCCUCAUUUAUACUUAUAUGUAGCUCACUUCCUACCUUUCAUUUUUCCCUUCUUCAUCUUUGUUCUAUUUUCUUACUUCUGAGACAGACACACUUGACCAUCUAAACUGUGCAGAGGAAAGAUCAGCACAGCAGUCUUCGCCUAUCCUCUUGCUGAUAGACCUACACAGGGAUACCUUGGAGUGAUAUAACCUCUACUACCAUUAAAAAAGAGCACUGAGUCUGCACCAAGAAAGGAGGAUAAGUAGAUGAGCAUGGAUUCUCCAACCUCUUGACCAACUCAAGUGUCUAAUGAUCCUCUUAUGGAAAAUGAGCCAUCUGUGGGUUAUAGGUUACCUGAUGCUUUUUCCACGUGCUUUGUUCACCGCACGCUCUACCGUCAGCCAAAUGCUGACAUGCACUAGUAUUUCCUGGCAUACUUCUGAUUUACUUCUUCUUGUAAGAUUACCAGAGAACAUACUCAUACUCAGACACAUUUUCAACCUCUUCUAAGGAGUUUGAGUUACAUGGAAUCCUGUCCUUCAUUCCCACAGAACUUCUUUUAUAGUUCAUAGAGAUGCUGAAGAGAGGAGGUGGCAGAGAGGUGAGGUCCCCUUUCCUCAUACUGAUUUGAUAAUCUUUGAACACUUCUAUGUUGUUAAUCCUUGAUUGAGUCAUAAUUUAGUCUUAAAUGGAUUUAACCUAUUUGAGAGAAAGGCUCACAGCUCUGUCCAUUCAAGGUAUUUGCAUGAAGCUGGCCUUAUAAUAGGAACUCUCUAUGCUCCAGGCAUGCUGAACAUUUUUUAGUUCCUCGAAUAUAGUAUGAAUGUACCAUAGGCCCUUGAACAUAUGGUUAUCCUUGCCUGGAACAGCCCCGAUUUCCCACUCUGUUAUCAUAAUCUACCCUAAAUAUUCAUCUAAAUAACCUACCUUAAUAUAUUAUGUCUCUAAAAAUAAUUAUGGAUAUUCCAAGUCAGAGAAAAGCCCUUACUACACUACCUUUCUUGCUGGCUUCAUCAUAGGACUCCCCAACUAGAUUGCAAGCUCUGUGUCUGUCAUGUUCAAAUAGCGCCUUGAAUGACUCUCUGUAACCUGGUAACAUGUCUUCGAAUGAGCUAGCAUUCUUAGAUUGAGAGAGCUUUUCUUUCACUUUGUCCAAUAACUUUGUAAAAGCACUUAGCUUUUCCCAUCUACCCCUUUCUAUUUGCCUAGACAGUUUUCUGCAGCAUAUUUUAGGGGAAGGAAAGUUGGUUUGCUCUUAACCUGUUUAUGAGUUAGUACAGUGCACAUUUGCCCAAUCCAAGGGGUAGAAGAGAAAUGUCUUUACACAUUAUUAGCUACUUAGGUUUUCCUGUAAAACCUUGAGUUAAAUGAGUUGAAACUUACUUUGCUAAAAAAUCUUCAUCUUAAAUAUGAAGCAUAUUAAGAAGAAUCCAUAUUUCAACGGAAGAAAUUGCAAAUAAUGCUGCUAACACAUUCACCAAUAUCUAUGUAUAAUGCGUUGCAUUUUUAUCUUAGCAUAUCACAAUGGAUUAACUAACACUAACUGGUAGAAGCAAGGUCCCAUGUGCAGAGAUAAAGAGAUGACAUCAAUAGCUCCUUUUAACACUGUGAACUAAGAAACCUGUAGAUUCUUAUCCAUCAAUGAGAAAGUAUACAUUAUUAUUAGUUCAAAGCAUUUCUUUUUACAGGAAGCUUUUUUGUUCUGUGGCACUUAGUCAUUCCUAUAUACAUUAUCCAUUCCUAUAUAGGCUACUUGAAAACUUUGAAAACCUUGACCCCUGAAUGCAUAGCCAAGCCAAAAAACCCCUAAGAAGAGCCAAGUGAUUAUUUUUUCUAUCCUUUCCUGUAUAGUCAUUUGCAUGUGAGAGGGAAAAAAAAUCUGAUAACUGAUGUCAAACAAGAAAAGAAAAAUGACCCUGAAGCACAGCAAAUUGCAGUACUGAGUCACCACAUUUACACUUACAUUAUAGCUUAUAGUAAUGUAAAUUCUGACGCAUCACAUUUACACUUACAUUAUAGCUUAUAUUAAUAUAAAUUCAAGCUGCUAGAAAUUACUCCCACAGGCAGCUGUGUAAAGUCACUUUUUUCACACAUUUUCUUAUAAUAACUGAAGUUUUACAGUAAUUUCUUUAAAUAGUUGAGGAAGAGAAAAUGGAGAUUAUGUGCCAGUUUCCAAACUAGGAAACUUUACCUCGGUGCAUUGCCUAUUUCCAGAGAGCUGAGAUUCCCCUUGCUUGGGAAAGCUCACUCCUUUCCAACACAAAGUCUUGGUUCCUGCUAGGCUAGUCUCCUUAUUAUCUGGAAUAGGUACCAAAAGUAGCUUCUAGAUUCAGACAAUCCUUGCUCAAAUAUUCUGUCUUCUUCCAGCUGUGUUACUGAGUUACUGUUACAAUCUAUUUAUCAAUUAUACUUUACCUCCUGGACUUGCUGUGAGGAUCAAUUAGAUAAUGUAAGUCAGGUGUCCAGUGGUCUGCCUAACACGUAAUGUGACUUAAUAAACACCACUUCCUUCCUCUCUCCUCUGUGCCGUUGCACAUUCACCUUCCCUCUUAGUAGAUUCUCUAUUACCUUCUGACCUCAAGGAGUAAGACGUAUAACACUUACCUUGAGAAUUUUCUUAUGAUUCUAGCCCACACUGAGUGGCUUCCUGCUUUAAAAUAUUCUUUCUUUUUUUUUUGAGACAGAGUCUCGCUCUGUUGCCAGGCUGGAGUACAGUGGUGUGAUCUUGGCUCACUGCAACCUCUGCCUCCCAGAUUCAAGCAAUUCUCCUACCUCAGCCUCACAAGUAGCCGGGACUAAAAUACUCUUAUUUUUAAUUGGGCCAUCCAUUUGUUAUUGCAUUUUUCUAGUUAUAUGUCUAAGUAUAUCCAGAGUACUCAAUAAAAAUGCCUGGAGACUUGUGGCAUUUCAUUUCAUUUUUAUGUAACUAUCAUAGUAACUAACAUGUCUACAUAAUGGGGUUCCAUAAAUUAUGUAACUGAUUAUUACUAUGUAGGACCCACCUAGAUUUAUAUAAUAUCUAAAAUGCUAACCUCUGGUGAGAAACACACAGUGCCUUACCCACUUGGGGUUUCUAGCUUCCAGUUAAUUAAAUUGUCAUCCUUUGAUUCUGCAAGCUGACCUACUUUUUAAGAUAAACUGUCAGCUGGUUGAGGAUUUUUUUAAAACACUUUUUUCCUGAAAAAAUUAAAACAAAGUAUAACUUCUCAUUCUGUUAUUGUAUUUGAAUUUCAGUGACUUUGGAUAGCUAAGCAGUUCCGUGCAGUCACUGAUUCUAUCCUUAAGUGAUACAUGGUAGAUUUAAUUUUGAUGGCAGGAGAAACAAGAUUCAAGAAAAUUAAUCAGUAACAUUUCUGCCAAAUGUAGUAAAAAUACACCGGGAAACCAACAUAGAAACAAUUCUUUGAAAGCUCCUAACAUAAAUUAAAAAUAUGAGAUUCGGACUUAAAUGUAGCCAAGUCUUUCUAUUUAAAGGUACAUGAAAAGGUUUCCAGAAAAAACAAUUGCAGAUUAUGAGGUAAACUGAAACACCCUAAUACUUA